CUGGUCUGAUACUGAUGCAUUUUUCAAAGUUCUGCAUUAUAUUUCACAAAGUUUUAAUAUGUAAAUUACAACAUAUAACUUAGUAAAAACUUUUCUUUGGAUUAAUUUAUCAAUUGGAUGUACCCACUAAAAAGGUGUCUGAUUGAGAUUCUAAACAUUUUUUAAAAAUCUAUAAAAAAAAACUUUUAGAAAAAUUUAACAAUAUAUAUUAUAAUACAGUUCUCAAUGUAUGUAAAAACUGAAAGUCAAUAAACCAAAUUAAACAAUACAAUUGUAUUGUUUACUUUCUUAAAUGUUUUAUCUUUAAUGAUAAUUCACUAAGUUUUAAUAUGUAAACUGCAAUGUAGGUACUUACCAAAAAUCCAAAUCCAAAGUACAUUUUAAAAUUUAGGUCCUCCAUUGUAAAAAAAACCCUCCCAUAAAAUAAUUGGUCAAUGUUGUAUUGUGUAUACUAUUCUAUACAUUUUGCCCAAAGUAUAUCUCCAUCUAUGUACAUUUUUUUUUUAUCUGAUUACUGUAUUUUUUUUUCUAUUAUCAACUAUAAAAACUAAUUAUUUGAAAUCAUAAUGUUAACUCAUUUGGUUUGUCUUUAUGAUGAAAAUACUUUAAAAUUUAAAUAAAUUUAAGUCAACCUAAAUUACACAGGUAUAACUAAAGC